GACGAACGCUGGCGGCGUGCUUAACACAUGCAAGUCGAACGGAAAGGCCCUGCUUUUGUGGGGUGCUCGAGUGGCGAACGGGUGAGUAACACGUGAGUAACCUGCCCUUGACUUUGGGAUAACUUCAGGAAACUGGGGCUAAUACCGGAUAGGAGCUCCUGCUGCAUGGUGGGGGUUGGAAAGUUUCGGCGGUUGGGGAUGGACUCGCGGCUUAUCAGCUUGUUGGUGGGGUAGUGGCUCACCAAGGCUUUGACGGGUAGCCGGCCUGAGAGGGUGGCCGGCCACAUUGGGACUGAGAUACGCCCCAGACUCCUACGGGAGGCAGCAGUGGGGAAUAUUGCACAAUGGGCGGAAGCCUGAUGCAGCAACGCCGCGUGCGGGAUGACGGCCUUCGGGUUGUAAACCGCUUUCGCCUGUGACGAAGCGUGAGUGACGGUAAUGGGUAAAGAAGCACCGGCUAACUACGUG
rnacentral:rRNA from 1 species